AACCCAGAGGAUUCAGCUGGCUAGGAUGUUGUGAUGCGCCUGGCGCAUCCAUCAGUCGGAAUAAGAUGUGAUAGUCCACUGGGAGACGGUGGGCCCGGCCGUAAGGUUGGGAUAUGUGUACCGGGUGUUAGCCGGAGCAUGCUAUUCAUCUGUUGGGCUGUCUAGUCAGUGCAUUUUCUCUGUGGUGAACACCACGACCGGUGGAAUUGCCAGUCUGCUGUAGUCGAGUCUUGCUGAGAGGGUCCUUGUGGCCAACUUGGUGAGAUCACAGGCAAUGUCAGUGUACGGCGUGGGAGUGCCUUUGGUGUUCCUACGUGUUAUCGGGCGCUGCUUGUCAACGGGCCUGCUCGGCGGUUGUUGUAACUGCUGCUGGGUGGUCUGGUGGGCUAUGGUGGUAAGAAUAACUGUGCAAGGCACCGGAGUUGGCGGCUCCAAAUGCGCUCUGCACUGGCAUGUUACAAGUGCGAGGGGGUGCCAUUGCGGUCUGCCUGUUGUUGAGUCUGAUUGUCGUGUCGCCUGCGCAAAGUGGGCCCGGCAGUGGCUUGAUGCAGGAUGGGCUGUGGAUGGUGUCUCUCAGGUGUAGAGUGCAGGGAGCCCAAUAGUCAGUGGUGCUGUGGUAGACGAGCUACCCGACCCGUCUUGAAACACGGACCAAGGAGUUUAACAUGUAUGCGAGUCAAGGGGUCCUACGAAACCCAAAGGCGCAAUGAAAGUAAAGCUUCGACUUGUCUCGGAGUGAGGUGAGAUCCUGCCGUAACUCGCAUCGCUUGGUGCCAGCAUCAGGCAAAGAGCGGUGGGCGCAUCACCGGCCCGUCUUAUGAUGUGGUCAUUGGAUGUCUGCGGUCGUUCUUGU
rnacentral:rRNA from 1 species